CCCGUCAUUCGUGUGGCUUAUGUUACCGUUGCCUUUCAAGUGCUUGCGUGCUGGYACCCGACCUUCGGGRAGUGGUGCUUCAUACAUGGYUGCCUCGCGRUGGACKYCUUCGGGCGUGCAGCUGCGRCAAAAUAGCGCUUGCGGCGUUGCUUCGUUGUGCUGGCAUGCUUUCGUGCCUGGUUUAAAUCAAAGCAGCCUCUCUCCCGCUGUUGGUUUUGGAUGUCGCUCACGAUAAAUGCUCAUGGYCCUUUUGGUUGCCUUGAUCAGACCCUAAAUAUSYCAUCCUCGUUGAGAACCGGAACAGGUGCCGCCUCUACCAAUAGGAUACGCGACAUUAUGCCCGGUMCUCGAUUCGUAGGUGGAUAUUGGCCCGCUCAACUGCGACAACCGGCCCGAUGGCUGGCUCUGCCUUUCCACGAAUGUGGACACUCAGGACGCCAUAAAGAGCAAUCCCCCRUGCAAUGCAUGGUGGGAGGCUCCGUUGGUUUGACCGGGUGGCUAACGAAUGUGGAUUGGCGAACCAGUGCCGGCGCUGGGCGUCAAAGAGGACGGUGCUACCUGGUUGAUCCUGCCAGUAGUCAUA
rnacentral:misc_RNA from 1 species